rnacentral:rRNA from 1 species
UCCAGACUCCUACGGGAGGCAGCAGUGAGGAAUAUUGGUCAAUGGGCGGAAGCCUGAACCAGCCAAGUCGCGUGAGGGAAGAAGGCCCUGCGGGUCGCAGACCUCUUUGGACGGGGAGCAAGGCCGCCGACGUGUCGGCGGAAGGAGAGUACCCGUAGAACAAGCAUCGGCUAACUCCGUGCCAGCAGCCGCGGUAAUACGGAGGAUGCGAGCGUUAUCCGGAUUUAUUGGGUUUAAAGGGUGCGUAGGCGGAAGGUUAAGUCAGCGGUCAAAUGUCGGUGCUCAACACCGGCCUGCCGUUGAAACUGGCAGUCUCGAGUUGGAGAGAAGUAUGCGGAAUGCGCGGUGUAGCGGUGAAAUGCAUAGAUAUCGCGCAGAACUCCGAUUGCGAAGGCAGCAUGCCGGCUCCACACUGACGCUGAGGCACGAAAGCGUGGGUAUCGAACAGGAUUAGAUACCCUAGUAAA